rnacentral:lncRNA from 1 species
CUUUUGUAUUCCGGGUAUUCUACGACUCUUUUCCACACUAAUUACGAAUUCUUUUCUUGGUCAUUGAGAUUCGUGGAUAAUUUAUAGUACUAUUUAGGGAUAGAUCGUAUCUAUAUUUUUAUCCCCUCGAACAAAUCAAAAUGAUUGAAGUUUUUCUAUUUGGAAUCAUCUUAGGCCUAAUUCCUAUUACUUUAGCGGGAUUAUUCGUGACUGCGUAUUUGCAAUACAGGCGUGGGGAUCAGUUGGAUCUUUGAUUGAGUAAUAUUUUUUUUGAUUGACCUCCUCCUUGGUCUGGA